AGUGAUUAAGAAAUAUAUUGCUUACUGUUUGGAAGAUAAUUGACUUUCUCAGGUGGCUAGAGGACUUUGUCUGCUUUGGGGCUUUGCUGAAAAAGUAGAACAACAUUAACACUGUUCAAUUUCAGACAGAAAUGUUUGGAAACUUUCAGAGCUGAAUGGGCCUUUGAGAGUAUAUAGUUAAGAGGCAUGAUUUUAAAAACAAGAAAACGAAAGCCUAGAAGUGAAAGAAACGUAUCCAAAUUUAUGCUGUAAGUUAGGUUGAUCUGAUUCUUCUGAGUUUCAGUCCCUCAGGCAUUCUAUCACAUUAAUAUAUCGUUUUCCACCAUUUCUUAUCAGUUAAUUAUUUAGGACAUAUAAUGUGGCAAGCACUGAGGUAGAUCCUGGAGAUAUAAAGAUAUACAUAUGAAAGUUUCUAUAUCCAAGGAGGUAAAUAAUGUAAUGAGAGAAAAGCAACAACUACAAACCCAGUAGUACGUUAAAAAAGUUGCUGUAUUCAGGGUACUAUCAGUGCACACAGUAGAGUGUGACUAGCUUGGUUGGGUAGGUAAGAGGAACUAAUAAAGACUCAGAAGGGGAAGUGAGAGGUGAGUCUUAAAGGCUAAUUAGGGUGAAGGAUAUUUCAAGCAGAGAGGAGAGCAUGUACAUGGAGCAUUUUAAGGAGAGCAAGUAGUUUAGUGCACACUAGAGUAAAAAGGAGAAGCUAAUUAGAUGGACCGUAGUCUGAUAAUGAAAGGCUAUGCAUAUUGUGUCAUGAAUUUGGACUCUAUCAGUAGAUUAUUGAAAGAUUCUGAAAAUUUUAAGUUGGGGGUUAUGUGAUACUAUAUAUUUUCAAUUUAGAAUCACAUGGAUAUCACUGUGGAGAUUGUAUUGGAGGAUAAAAGACCAGAGGCAAGGAGAACACGUUGGAGGCAAUUGCAGCAAGGCGGCAAGAAACGAUGAUGGCAUGAAAUAAGAGUGACAGUGAAGAUGGCGAGAAGAAAAAUGAAGGGCAUCAACUUGAUAGUUCAACAGGUUCCUCAAUGGUACCUCAGAUGUUGGAGAGACCAAGAGGGAGGAGAACACUUUUUCAGUUUAAGAGGGCAAGAGGGCUGGAAUAGCAGCAACCAUCUUGGGUCCAAGUGGUGAAAAGCCUGAAGACUUGCUUGAGCUACUGAAACAAGCCUGAAUUUUAUUUCAUCUGAGGCUAUAAAUGUUCUGAUAGUUUAAAUUGCUGAUCAUUAUGAUUAUUUUUGUUACUUGUAGUUCAAAGUAUACUAACUACUAAAAUGGGAAAAUAUAACUACCACA
rnacentral:lncRNA from 1 species